ACUCGUUAACGCUUAUCAUUUUGUCGAUUUGUUUGCUCGGGACUCUUACCGAGUGCAAGAGGAGGAGGAAAGGCAAGUGGAGAGUUGCAGGAGAUCUUAGUUAUACAAGAGACAGCGGAUGGGCAGGUAAACUCGGUGUGUCCCUGUCCUGGAGGAGGAAAAAACGGUCUAUAAAUGAAGAAGUGUUUGACGUCAGAAUGUACAUGGUUAACACGAAUACCGGAAGUAGAUUUAAACUCAACCCUUGCGAUUUUGCAUUAUAUGACCAAGAUGACGACUUAGAUGUAACAAUGGCAGAUUUUGAUAUACUAUUUUCCGAUGUGGACAAAACAAAACAUGUCCUAGAAGAACAGCUUUUUACAGAGUUAGAUGCUGACAAUGAUAAGAAAAUUUCUGUUACGGAGUUUGAGGAAAAACGAGGACUAGUGUUUUCCAAAAACACAUGUGUCAUCAAUGCUGCAUAGGUAUG